UUCUAGAGAUUUAUUUUGUUCCUUUGAAUAUGCUAAUUCUCCUGUAUACUUGGUUAUUGUUAAAUGCCUUAAUUUCCUAAAAGUCUUAUGCUUGCUUCUUCUUGGGGUGAUUUAUGUUCUAUGCUUGAUAUCUGACCUAUUUCAAGCUAUGCAGCUAUUCUCAUCUGAAGUCAUCAGUUGGGAUGGAAACCAGUCUCUCAGCAGUACUUAAACAGGUCAGAAAGUUGCCAGCAGUUCCAAUCUAUUAUUUUUAUCUCAAAGGAAAAAUCAGCAGUAGAGUGGCUUCCCUCCUUCGACUCAGUUUCAGGGAAGGGGUGAGAACACCCUGUGAAGAGGAAGGCAGAGAUUGGAAUGAUGCAGAAGAAGCCAACGAAUCUAGGAGAGAGGCAUGAAUUUCCCCUUCAUAGUCCUUGUAAGGAGCCAACCCUGCUGCACCUUUAUCUCAAAUGUCCAGCUUCCAGAACUGCAAGACAGUAAAUUUCUGCUGUUUAAGACAAAAAAAAAAAAAGUUAAGCUUUAUAUGCACAAAGCAAGACAUUACUUAUAUUAAAUGUUGUAUCUGUGAUCUUUACAACAUUUGUCAAAUAGUCUAUUAGCCAAUCAGUUGGUAGGCAGAAGUAUCUAAAUCACAUAAAAUAAUUGUGCCUAAAUAAUUCUGGUAACUUAUGUAUAAUCCGUUGAACAUCUUGACAAUCACUAAUUUAACUAAUGCAAGUUUGUCAAAUAGGGGAACUGGGGAUCCUGAUACUAAUAUAAUUUUAGAAGAUGAACAACAGUAAAGCAUUUAUGGACUGAGA